rnacentral:lncRNA from 1 species
GCGCUUGGUGCAGGGGGCUUCAAAGGGAGGGAGGCCCCCAACUCCUUCUCAGGCACCCGCGCCCUCCGAGGGGACCCGGUCUUCGCUCCGCUGCCCUUGGCCCCCCUUCCGCCUGGAUUUCGGGGAGGGACGUUUCUCUACCCGCCUGCCCGCCCCCCGGCCCGAGCGGGGGCUUCCUCCCGGCCCCGCGCCUUGGCCGCCCAGCCCCGCCGGCUCCGGUGAGCAGGCGCCGUCCUCUGUGACCUCAUCGGGGUGCCGAGCGCCAACUGCCCGGCAACCGGAGCCGGAGCCAGAGCUGCAGAGCUGCUUCCAGAGGCGGGCGGGCAGACAGGCACGCAGCUCCCGGCAGCCCCCACGCCCCUCUCGCUGCCCAGGCAGGUGCUGCUCGCGAGGAGCCCGCCAGCCAGCCAGCGCGUCCCCCCUUGAGCGGCGCGGCCGGGUCUUCCGGCUCCCGGAAAAGAGAAGAUCCAGCCCCGAGGGCUCUCGGCCGGGACAUCCGCCGGACACCGGACGCAACGGGACGCGGGAGGACAGAANCACCAGCCAUGGAUCACAGGGUCCCCAUGUAUCCCAACUUCCCAGCAGAGCAUCGGAGCUCCGCGAGCGAGAACAUGGUCUGCGGAGACGAGGAGCUGGACGAGGAGACGGCGAACUUCAUCUCGGCCCUGUANGCGGCCUUAGGCCCUCUCCUGCCGGAAGUGACCAAGCUCCAAGGCCACCAGGACCCGCCUGCCCACCUGAUGGUUGACAUGAAGGCCAAGCUGCGGGAGCUGGGCUCCAGUGUUUCGGAUGCCAGGAAGAAGCUCCUGCGCUACAACAUUUACCUGGAGAUUUCGGCACCGGACUUUGGAAAAAUGAAGCCCCUGGACAGAAUUCAUCGGCGGAGUGACUCCAUGGAUGAGCGCCCCCGGUCCCCCAUGACCCCCCUGGGAAUACUGCAGAAAACUGCUUGCAUGCCUCCGCAUCCCCCCCUUUGAAAGGCACUCCCUGCAGUCAUCGGAGAAGGCAGCCCAGCUCACCACCCCAACAGCUCUCCUGCUUCCUGGUCCCCCCCCCCCAGCGCCACCAUGGAAGCAAGCGGCUUCCAGGUAGCUCCCAUUAAAGACACCUGAUGCCUCAACUAGUUCCAAGGGCAGCCGAGAGUUUUCAUUUUGACCUGCCGCGUCCUGCAUGCUCACAGCCAAACGUGUCACAACAGGCAAGGGCCUGUUUCCAAAGGGGCCCCCAGGGCAAGGCAUGCUGGUUUGUAGAUGCCUCAGCUGCACCCGUUUGGGGGUGCAGGCCUCUUACCCCAACAAAUCAUCCACAUCACUAUCAAUUUUGCCAUCAGCACCACACAACUACAUACUAGAACAUAUGCCACUGUGGAUGUCUCUGGGGGAGGUGAGGCGGAGUCCAUUGGCUGACCACUAACUUGGCUAUCACGAUAAUGGACCCCACACACAGAGGCUCCCCCCUCUUCAUGGACCUCUCCCUGCUUUUAGGCUACUCUGAAAUUGCACAAUUGCACAAAAGUGCAACUGCAAAGGAGCAGAAAUUGCAACCUAUCCUUUACGAAACUUUAUUGUGUGGCUAAUGUGGAACUGAAGUUCUGCUUGGGUGGAUACAGGCUGGAGGGGAGAAGGAGCAAACAGUGAAUGACCAGUAACGCCGCCAAGGAAUCCAUGUUCUGAGGCGGCAGCAGGGACAUAUNGAGGGCGGAACAUGUCUUGCCCGCCCUUGUGAAGUCAAGAUUAGAAUGUUGGGACCACAUCCAAUCGCUGACUGCACAGGGAGGGGAACUGGGGGGGGGUGGAGAGAGAGAAAGGAGCGGUUUCUCCAUGCCAAGCAGGGGAAAAAUGAGGUGUGAGAAGGAGAAAUUCGAAUUGAGUCCGCAUUGUAAUGCAAAUGUGUGAACGACCGAAACAUGUACUCAGUCCUCGUUCUCCUCCAAUAUGGAUUAAAUUUACAAUGUGGGACUGCGCCCUAUGAUACAAC